rnacentral:rRNA from 1 species
UACGUAGGGGGCGAGCGUUGUCCGGAAUCAUUGGGCGUAAAGAGCGUGUAGGCGGCUUGGCAAGUCUGACGUGAAAGCCCGCGGCUCAACCGCGGAUUGUCGUUGGAAACUGCCUCGCUAGAGUCCGGAAGAGGAGAGCGGAAUUCCUGGUGUAGCGGUGGAAUGCGCAGAUAUCAGGAAGAACACCCGUGGCGAAGGCGGCUCUCUGGAACGCAACUGACGCUGAGACGCGAAAGCGUGGGGAGCAAACAGG